UACAGAGGGUGCGAGCGUUAAUCGGAAUUACUGGGCGUAAAGCGUGCGUAGCCGGUUAUUUAAGUCGGAUGUGAAAGCCCCGGGCUCAACCUGGGAAUUGCAUUCGAGACUGAAUAGCUAGGGUACGGUAGAGGGAAGUGGAAUUUCCGGUGUAGCGGUGAAAUGCGUAGAUAUCGGAAGGAACAUCAGUGGCGAAAGCGACUUCCUGGACCAGUACCGACGUUCAGGCACGAAAGCGUGGGGAGCAAACAGG
rnacentral:rRNA from 1 species